GAUGAACGCUGGCGGCGUGCCUAACACAUGCAAGUCGAACGUGAGAGGGUAGCAAUAUCCUUGAAAGUGGCGCACGGGUGAGUAAGACGUAGGUGACCUGCCCUGGAGUGGGGGGAUAACAGCUGGAAACGGCUGCUAAUACCGCAUAUUACCGGAACACUGGGAAGUGUACUGGUAAAAACUCUGGUGCUUCAGGAGGGGCCUGCGGCCGAUUAGCUAGUUGGCGGGGUAAGAGCCCACCAAGGCGACGAUCGGUAGCUGGUCUGAGAGGACGAUCAGCCACACGGGAACUGAGACACGGUCCCGACUCCUACGGGGGGCAGCAGUGAGGAAUAUUGGGCAAUGGGCGAAAGCCUGACCCAGCAACGCCGCGUGGAGGAAGACGGCCUUCGGGUU
rnacentral:rRNA from 1 species